UUUUCAUGAAUUAGAGACCAUAUUGGCUUAGGUUGUAACAAAGUCUUGUUUCCAUGCAGGGGGAACCAGGGGAAAUAGGGGAACCUGGAUUACCUGGCGAGGUGGGUCUGAAGGGACCAAUGGGACCUCCAGGACAACCAGGGCUUCCUGGACAGAUUGGGAUUCCAGGUCUCCAAGGAGAGAGAGGAGAAAGAGGGCCUCGAGGAGAUAAGGGAGAGCGAGGUCUGGAUGGAUUCCCUGGAAAGCCUGGAGAAGAAGGGAAGAAGGUAUAUAAACUCUUGAGUUGGUAAGAAGCAGAUGCUGAUCUCUGGAAAGAGAGACUG
rnacentral:lncRNA from 1 species